ACUCCUACGGGAGGCAGCAGUGGGGAAUUUUGGACAAUGGGGGCAACCCUGAUCCAGCAAUGCCGCGUGAGUGAAGAAGGCCUUCGGGUUGUAAAGCUCUUUUGUCAGGGAAGAAACGGUGGUGGCGAAUAACUACUACUAAUGACGGUACCUGAAGAAUAAGCACCGGCUAACUACGUGCCAGCAGCCGCGGUAAUACGUAGGGUGCAAGCGUUAAUCGGAAUUACUGGGCGUAAAGCGUGCGCAGGCGGUCGUGUAAGUCAGAUGUGAAAUCCCCGGGCUCAACCUGGGAAUUGCAUUUGAGACUGCACGGCUAGAGUGUGUCAGAGGGGGGUAGAAUUCCACGUGUAGCAGUGAAAUGCGUAGAUAUGUGGAGGAAUACCGAUGGCGAAGGCAGCCCCCUGGGAUAACACUGACGCUCAUGCACGAAAGCGUGGGGAGCAAACAGGAUUAGAUACCCCGGUAGUCCCAUGAU
rnacentral:rRNA from 1 species